rnacentral:rRNA from 1 species
AAUAUUGCACAAUGGGGGAAACCCUGAUGCAGCCAUGCCGCGUGUGUGAAGAAGGCCUUCGGGUUGUAAAGCACUUUCAGUAGGGAGGAAGGUAGUCGUAGUUAACACCUGCACUAUUUGACGUUACCUACAGAAGAAGCACCGGCUAACUCCGUGCCAGCAGCCGCGGUAAUACGGAGGGUGCGAGCGUUAAUCGGAAUUUACUGGGCGUAAAGCGCAUGCAGGCGGCCUGUUAAGUCAGAUGUGAAAGCCCGGGGCUUAACCUCGGAAUUGCAUUUGAAACUGGCAGGCUAGAGUCUUGUAGAGGGGGUAGAAUUUCAGGUGUAGCGGUGAAAUGCGUAGAGAUCUGAAGGAAUACCAGUGGCGAAGGCGGCCCCCUGGACAAAGACUGACGCUCAGAUGCGAAAGCGUGGGGAGCAAACAGGAUUAGAUACCCUGGUAG